ACUUGCUGCACCAGCUGCUUGGAGUGCUGUCAGUCACAGCCUUCAGCUGCCAGCCCCUUUAGAGAUUGCAGAGAGCUGCCUUUCCCAGUGUUUUACUCCUUCCUGGGCUGGCCCACAUCCAGUGACUCACUGAUGCAGGAGUGUAAAGUCUUGGCCAUCUAGACCCAACUUGGGACAACUUUAAAGGGCCAUUGUGCUCCCGAGUCUCACUGAGGUUGGGUCUGCAUUGCAGCUUGACUUUCCCCUCUAUAUAUUCCUGUUUUCUUCCUUUGCCUCUCUUCCAUGGGUGUUGAUUCUAAGGAUACUCCUUAAUAAACAUCCUGUUUGGUAAACUCCAUCGCAGCAUCUACUUUCCAGUGAAUGCAACCUGCAACACCACAGGCACUUACACAUGGAGAAAGACUUAUUAAAAGGAAUUGGCUUAUAUGUUUAUGGAGGCUGGGAAGUUCCAAGAUCUGCAGUUGCUGAGACCCAGGAGAGCCAGUGGUGCAAGAUCCAGUUUGAAAGCUUGCAGCCUUGAAAGCCAAGAAGAAUGAGUGUUUUAGGUACAGUCUGCAGGCAGGAAAAGCCUGAUGUCUCAGCUCAAGCAGUCAAGCAGGAGGAGUACCUUCUUAGCCAUUUUGUUCUAUUCAGAUCUUCAAUUGAUUGGAUGAGGCCCAUCCACAUUAGGAAAGACAAUCUGCUGUACUUCAAUAGACAAUUUGAAUUGUUUAUCAAUUCAAAUAUCUACUCCAAUGUAUACAUUUGAAUUGGUAUCCAAUUUUAACCAAUUCAAAUAUAUACUCCAAUACACAAUUUGAAUUGUUUACCAACUUGAAUUGUUUAUCAAUUAAAAUGUAUGUACCAAUGUAUAUGCCAGUGUAUAUAUUUGUAGACAUUGUAUAUAUUCAAUGUAUACAUUUGGAUUGUUAAACAUUAGAUACAUUAGAUACCAAUCCAAAUGUAUACUCCAAUACACAAUUUGAAUUGUUUACCAAUUCAAAUGUUAAUUUCAUCCAGAAAUGCACAAACUCAGAAUAAUAUUUGACUAAAUAUCUUGGCAUCCUGUGGCCCAGUGAAGUUGGCACAUAAAAUUAAUCAUCACGGGAUUAAUCACCACAGGCCCUUUGUAGCUAUAUCUCCCAGUGUUUGUUCUACUUUUGGAAAAUAAAAUUUCAAGAAGAAUCCAGGUCCUUCUAGACUGCUUUCAGCCAGAGGUUCCUACAGAUAUCCAGUUAAUUCUUAUUCUCCUUCAUACAAUAAAUAUCCUGUCCCUGCCAGGUUCAUAAUUUGAAUCAGGUAUGCACAUUAUUCAAUCAUUUAUUCCACAAGCAAAUAUUUUGUCUUGAUCACCUAUUAUGUAGCAGGUAUUUUGCCAGGAAUCAUCCACUUCUUUCAUCUUGCUCAGGGGGCUACAAACACCCAUAUUCCUCUCUAUUACUCUCUUCUGCCAGCUCUGUCCACACUCUCUGAGGAGAGGGUCCAUGCUCAGUCUCUGGGUUUCCUUGCAGGCACUUUUCUUCUUCAUAUUCAAGCAGUAUUUUUCUUCUUGUUGGAUUUUUAAUCUUAUUUAUUUAUUUAUUUAUUAUUUUGCACUUACUUAUGGCUUGUAACUCAUAGGCAAAGCUAGUCAUUUAUUCACAGUAAGAAAAAUACAGGUAGGAAAUGACACCACAACCUGGCAAUGGGUUCACCCACUUGGACAGGGCAAACAGACACUGAGUGACCCUCUUGGCUAACAGUGGUUGUCAAGCCACGUCCACAAUCUCAGUGUUGGAGAACUACUGAGUGUUGGGCAGAAAGAUGGUACUGAAGUUGCUGCUGAAACAACAGGAGGUCGAGUGCAGUGAUGGGGAAUCCAUUGUGGGAAAAACUCUGAAGGACCAGAGACAGGCUGCUGGCACCCAAAAUAUUUUUGCUUAAUUGGCUGGACUGAAGUUCAGGGACAAGACAACAGUUUUUGGAAAGAGAAUUGGCAAGAACAAGGCCUGACUUUGGUGGUUAAGAGUGCAGACUUUGGAGCCAGGAUGUCUGGUUUCAGACUCACUUCAGAGCCAAAAAAUAUUGGGAAAACUAUUUAAUCUCUUUUUAUCCUGAUUUCUUUCAUAUGCAAAGUGAAAAAAACUAAAAGU
rnacentral:lncRNA from 1 species